GGGGAUUUAGCUCAGUGGUAGAGCGCUUGCCUAGCAAGCACAAGGUCCUGGGUUCGGUCCUCAGCUCCG
rfam:Rattus norvegicus chromosome 12, whole genome shotgun sequence.